AACGAACGCUGGCGGCAUGCUUAAUACAUGCAAGUCGAACGAGAUCUUCGGAUCUAGUGGCGCACGGGUGCGUAACGCGUGGGAAUCCGCCCUUGGGUUCGGAAUAACGUCUGGAAACGGACGCUAAUACCGGAUGAUGACGAAAGUCCAAAGAUUUAUCGCCCAGGGAUGAGCCCGCGUAGGAUUAGCUAGUUGGUGGGGUAAAGGCCUACCAAGGCGACGAUCCUUAGCUGGUCUGAGAGGAUGAUCAGCCACACUGGGACUGAGACACGGCCCAGACUCCUACGGGAGGCAGCAGUAGGGAAUAUUGGACAAUGGGGGCAACCCUGAUCCAGCAAUGCCGCGUGAGUGAUGAAGGCCUUAGGGUUGUAAAGCUCUUUUACCAGAGAUGAUAAUGACAGUAUCUGGGGAAUAAGCCCCGGCUAACUCCGUGCCAGCCGCCGCCGUAACAC
rnacentral:rRNA from 1 species